rnacentral:rRNA from 4 species
GCUGACGAGUGGCGGACGGGUGAGUAAUGUCUGGGAAACUGCCUGAUGGAGGGGGAUAACUACUGGAAACGGUGGCUAAUACCGCAUAACGUCGCAAGACCAAAGAGGGGGACCUUCGGGCCUCUUGCCAUCAGAUGUGCCCAGAUGGGAUUAGCUUGUUGGUGAGGUAACGGCUCACCAAGGCGACGAUCCCUAGCUGGUCUGAGAGGAUGACCAGCCACACUGGAACUGAGACACGGUCCAGACUCCUACGGGAGGCAGCAGUGGGGAAUAUUGCACAAUGGGCGCAAGCCUGAUGCAGCCAUGCCGCGUGUAUGAAGAAGGCCUUCGGGUUGUAAAGUACUUUCAGCGGGGAGGAAGGUGUUGUGGUUAAUAACCACAGCAAUUGACGUUACCCGCAGAAGAAGCACCGGCUAACUCCGUGCCAGCAGCCGCGGUAAUACGGAGGGUGCAAGCGUUAAUCGGAAUUACUGGGCGUAAAGCGCACGCAGGCGGUCUGUCAAGUCGGAUGUGAAAUCCCCGGGCUCAACCUGGGAACUGCAUUCGAAACUGGCAGGCUUGAGUCUUGUAGAGGGGGGUAGAAUUCCAGGUGUAGCGGUGAAAUGCGUAGAGAUCUGGAGGAAUACCGGUGGCGAAGGCGGCCCCCUGGACAAAGACUGACGCUCAGGUGCGAAAGCGUGGGGAGCAAACAGGAUUAGAUACCCUGGUAGUCCACGCCGUAAACGAUGUCUACUUGGAGGUUGUGCCCUUGAGGCGUGGCUUCCGGAGCUAACGCGUUAAGUAGACCGCCUGGGGAGUACGGCCGCAAGGUUAAAACUCAAAUGAAUUGACGGGGGCCCGCACAAGCGGUGGAGCAUGUGGUUUAAUUCGAUGCAACGCGAAGAACCUUACCUGGUCUUGACAUCCACAGAACUUUCCAGAGAUGGAUUGGUGCCUUCGGGAACUGUGAGACAGGUGCUGCAUGGCUGUCGUCAGCUCGUGUUGUGAAAUGUUGGGUUAAGUCCCGCAACGAGCGCAACCCUUAUCCUUUGUUGCCAGCGGUUAGGCCGGGAACUCAAAGGAGACUGCCAGUGAUAAACUGGAGGAAGGUGGGGAUGACGUCAAGUCAUCAUGGCCCUUACGACCAGGGCUACACACGUGCUACAAUGGCGCAUACAAAGAGAAGCGACCUCGCGAGAGCAAGCGGACCUCAUAAAGUGCGUCGUAGUCCGGAUUGGAGUCUGCAACUCGACUCCAUGAAGUCGGAAUCGCUAGUAAUCGUGGAUCAGAAUGCCACGGUGAAUACGUUCCCGGGCCUUGUACACACCGCCCGUCACACCAUGGGAGUGGGUUGCAAAAGAAGUAGGUAGCUUAACCUUCGGGAGGGCGCUUACCACUUUGUGAUUCAUGACUGGGGUGAAGUCGUAACAAGGUAACCGUAGGGGAACCUGCGGUUGGAUCACCUCCUUA